AGGAGUACUACCCGGACUCUCCAGAGGACUUAAUGAUGGCGAUUUGUGGUUUAUGGAGGCAUUGACGGCUUCAGCCGUCUUAUUGUGUACUUGAAAGCCGCCACCAAUAACCGUGCGUCAACGGUCUGCAACUGCUUUCUUGAAGCAGUCGGUGUAUAUGGAGUGCCAUCACGUGUUCGCUCUGAUAAAGGAGGAGAGAAUGUCCAAGUGGCCCACUUCAUGGUGUCCACCAGAGGCCCAAACAGGAAUCCUCAUCUCACAGGAAGAAGCACACACAACCAGAGGAUAGAGAGAUUGUGGAGAGAUGUCUUUGGAGGAGUUUUGAAUCUGUUCUACACAACAUUCUGCAAUCUAGAGGCAGAAGGUCUUCUCAACCCGGACAAUGAGAUCCAGCUGUAUGCAC